rnacentral:rRNA from 1 species
AGCGUAGGCGGACAUUUAAGUCAGAGGUGAAAUCCCGGAGCUUAACUUCGGAACUGCCUUUGAUACUGGGUGUCUUGAGUGUGAGAGAGGUAUGUGGAACUCCGAGUGUAGAGGUGAAAUUCGUAGAUAUUCGGAAGAACACCAGUGGCGAAGGCGACAUACUGGCUCAUUACUGACGCUGAGGCUCGAAAGCGUGGGGAGCAAACAGGAUUAGAUACCCUGGUAGUCCACGCCGUAAACGAUGAUUGCUAGUUGUCGGGAAGCUUGCUUCUCGGUGACGCAGCUAACGCAUUAAGCAAUCCGCCUGGGGAGUACGGUCGCAAGAUUAAA